CCACCCCACUCCUCGCCCCACGGUUUUCAGCUCCGCCUGUCCCGGAGACCCUGUGCAGCCUCCUGCCUCCGCCCCCGGAUCUGCUGAGUGCAGAGUGGGGAGGGUGCGGUUGCGAGCCAGUUGUGUGCAGAGCAACUGCCAGCAAUGUGGCUUUCUUUUCUCCUCGUCCCCCGCCAUGCCUGUCCCUGUCCACACCUAGGUACCUCGGAACCACUCCUCCGUCCAUAGCAACACCGGAACACCGGUCGGCCUCUGUCUGCAGUCCAUUCACCUCGCCUGAGAAGAUAUGGGGGCGCAUUUGUCCAGGUCCUCCUUUGCAUAUAAGUCUCCAUGCUCCCCACAGCCUUAGGGCGGCCCCACUACGGAAUGGCAGUUCUGGACAUGUGGGAUCUCUCCCCAAGGAAAGAUGACUUCAGAUGAGGACAUGGAGGCUCAGAGAGGUUGAGUGACUUGCCCAGGCCACACAGCCAGUAAGUGGUGAAGUGCAUUGUGAACUAGGGACUGUCUGACAUGAAAACCCAAGCCCUUGGCGCAGGCUGCCUUUAAAACUCUAUACGGAGCACCUUCAGGCAAGUAUGCUCCUGAUUCCUGGGCCAAGCGACUCAUCAUCCUCUUUGACUGAACAUCAAAUAACAUUCCCUCCACAUAGCCAGGGGGACUAACGUUGGCUUUAAUUACAAGUCACUCAGAGCUUCACUCCUUUCUAAUGACUGCCGCCACGCCCUCCAAACUACUGAAUGCCAUCACCCCAGGUGUGGACAAACAGGAAGAACUUCAUCUGCCACCAUGAAGUUCACACCCAUGUUCACACACUUGCUGGGAACAUGCUGGGCAUUUCAUCACAUCCCCAGCCAUUUUGCUGGUUUAAGUAGCCAACGGCUGAAAUUUGAGAGGAGUAAAUUCAGCCUGACCUUGGGAGGAACUCACAAAGAUUCAGAACCAAGGCACAACAGGGAGCUCUCAGGGGUCUGCAAGUGUCUUCAGAGACACUGGGCAGGCCACGCCUGAUGGUUCCUUGUGGGGAUGUCUGGAUCAGCGCUGCUCAGGGUGUGCCAGCCAUACACUCGGGCCAGUCUCAGAACUGGCCUGGAAACCCUUGGACAAAUGUGUAGUGCUGGUAAUUCUUUUAUUUUUCCUAUGUAAUUUGUUCUUCAAAUAUUUGUUGAAAUUUUCCUGUUGAAUCUAAUAAAUGAUCGUUGUUUAUUUUCUUCUUAACUUUCA